rnacentral:rRNA from 1 species
AACCAGGUUAAUAUUCCUGGGCCAGGAGGAUGUGACGGAUGCUCACUGUUGUUCGGUCUUAUCGGAUUGACCGGGCAGCUGCGGUGUCCCUGGAAAUAGCCCUCCAUCAGACCGUACCCUAAACCGACACAGGUGGACUGGUAGAGUAUACCAAGGCGCUUGAGAGAACCACGUCAAAGGAACUCGGCAAAAUGCUCCCGUAAGUUCGCGAGAAGGGAGCCCCGUCUGUGCGCAAGCAUGGGCGGGGGGCACAAACUAGGGGGUGGCGACUGUUUACUUAAAACACAGGGCUCUGCGAAGUCGCAAGACGACGUAUAGGGUCUGACGCCUGCCCGGUGCUGGAAGGUUAAAAGGAGGGGUGCAAGCUCUGAAUUGAAGCCCCAGUAAACGGCGGCCGUAACAAUAACGGUCCUAAGGUAGCGAAAUUCCUUGUCGGGUAAGUUCCGACCUGCACGAAUGGCGUAACGAUCUCCCCGCUGUCUCUGACGUGGACUCAGCGAAAUUGAACUGUGUGUCAAGAUGCACACUACCCGC